rnacentral:rRNA from 1 species
CAGCAGCCGCGGGAAUACGUAGGGUGCGAGCGUUAAUCGGAAUUACUGGGCGUAAAGGGCGCGUAGGCGGACAGUUCAGUCGGGGGUGAAAGCCCGGGGCUCAACCUCGGAAUUGCCUUCGAUACUGGCUGUCUUGAGUACGGGAGAGGUGAGUGGAACUCCGAGUGUAGAGGUGAAAUUCGUAGAUAUUCGGAAGAACACCAGUGGCGAAGGCGACUCACUGGCCCGUUACUGACGCUGAGGCGCGAAAGCGUGGGGAGCAAACAGGAUUAGAUACCCCAGUAGUCCCUGUCUCUUAUAC